rnacentral:rRNA from 1 species
GUGCACCAGUCGAGAAUCCUCCGCAAUGCGCGAAAGCGCGACGGGGCCACCCCGAGUGCCGCCCGCUGAGGGCGGCUUUUCCCCGGUGUAGACAGCCGGGGGAAUAAGGGGAGGCAAGUCUGGUGUCAGCCGCCGCGGUAAUACCAGCUCCCCGAGUGGUGGGGACGAUUAUUGGGCCUAAAGCGUCCGUAGCCGGCCCGGCAAGUCUCCCGUUAAAUCCAGCGAUCUAAUCGCUGGACUGCGGGAGAUACUGUCGGGCUAGGGGGCGGAGAGGCCGGCGGUAUUCCCGGGGUAGGGGUGAAAUCCUAUAAUCCCGGGAGGACCACCAGUGGCGAAGGCUGCCGGCUGGAACGCGCCCGACGGUGAGGGACGAAAGCCGGGGGAGCGAACCGGAUUAGAUACCC